UACAGAGGGGGCAAGCGUUGUUCGGAAUUACUGGGCGUAAAGGGCGCGUAGGCGGCCUUCUAAGUCAGACGUGAAAUCCCUCGGCUCAACCGGGGAACUGCGUCUGAGACUGGAGGGCUUGAAUCCGGGAGAGGGAUGUGGAAUUCCAGGUGUAGCGGUGAAAUGCGUAGAUAUCUGGAGGAACACCGGUGGCGAAGGCGGCAUCCUGGACCGGUAUUGACGCUGAGGCGCGAAAGCCAGGGGAGCAAACGGG
rnacentral:rRNA from 1 species